ACCCACCUUUGACAUGGCAGGAAGUUACCAGAGAUGGUUUCGUGCUCGAAAGGGAACCUGCACACAGGUGCUGCAUGGCUGUCGUCAGCUCGUGUCGUGAGAUGUUGGGUUAAGUCCCGCAACGAGCGCAACCCUUGCCAUCAGUUGCUACGAAAGGGCACUCUGAUGGGACUGCCGGUGACAAACCGGAGGAAGGUGGGGAUGACGUCAAGUCCUCAUGGCCCUUAUAGGUGGGCUACACACGUCAUACAAUGGCCGGUAACAAAGGGCAGCCAACCCGCGAGGGGGAGCCAAUCCCAUAAAGCCGGUCGUAGUCCGGAUCGCAGUCUGCAACUCGACUGCGUGAAGUCGGAAUCGCUAGUAAUCGUGGAUCAGCAUGUCACGGUGAAUACGUUCCCGGGUCCU
rnacentral:rRNA from 1 species